CUCUGAUGAAGGUAAGUUCAGGGCAGUGGCCUCUAGAUGGCAGAACAUAUCUGUUUUUCUCUUGAUUUUUAGAGGUGUGAUUAACACAUAUAGAGAUGAGUAGGAGGAGAUCUGAAGGGCUUUGCAUAUGUAUUUCAUAGGAUGACAAUUAAGACCUCAGUCAGUACUUUUGUAUCGGCUGCACCUCUUAAGUAUUCGUUUCCAAAAGUGAUAUGUACAAUGUCCCUCCUUAAUUGGCCAGUGCAGUUAUUUCUAAUUUGGUAUCUUGCAAGUAAGUAUCUUUUAAAAUUUCCAAUUAAAAAACAAUUAGUCAAUAUUUAAAUUAUCCACUUACAAUAUCAAUUUCUGUUAAUUACAAUACGGUUAAGUCUUGUUAAUUAUGAAUAUGCUGUGUUAUUACAAAUGCUUCUCUCCUUCCACAGGUGCUGUCCAUGGGAACUCUAUACAAUCAGAUCUGGCACACAUGUACAGUGAAGUUGGGAAAACUGUGACAUUAACGUGUAAUUAUUCCACUAGCAGCAAUCAGCCCUAUCUGUUCUGGUAUAAACAGUAUGCCAAUCAGAUGCAGUAUAUUCUUUACCGUGGAGCCAGAAGUAUGUCUUCUAUGACACAUGAUGGACAUUUUCAGACUGGAAAAUUUGAAUCUGAGACCAGCGAGUCCACAACCAGCUUAACUAUAUACAACAUGACUGUGUCAGAUUCUGCUGUGUACUUCUGUGCUCUCAGAUCUGGUGCACAGUGUGACAUCUACAUUGUAAACCCAUCAAUAAACAUCUUCUUCACUACCGCUCUUCCACCAGCAGGUGGCAGAAUCCAUUGUAGUCCAAUUAUUGAACAUCCUCCUCACUACCAGCCUUCAACCAGCAGAUGGCAGAAUUCAUCUUAGCUUCACCGCAGUAAGAAAAAUAAAACAGGCAGCCUGUAAAAAACAGUUUAUGUCUUUCACCUUCUUUGCAGAGAUUCAU